rnacentral:rRNA from 1 species
UACGGGGGAGCAAGCGUUGUUCGGAUUUACUGGCGUAAAGGGCGCGUAGGCGGCCACCGCAAGUCGACUGUGAAAUCUCCGGGCUUAACCGGAAAGGUCAGCCGAUACUGCGGGCUAGAGUGCAGAAGGGCAACUGGAAUUCUCGGUGUAGCGGUGAAAUGCGUAGAUAUCGAGAGGAACACCUGCGGCGAAGGCGGGUUGCUGGGCCGACACUGACGCUGAUGCGCGAAAGCCAGGGAGCGAACGGG